GACAUGUGAAGUUAGUAUGAUGGUGACCAUCCAGGGAUCCGCUGCAGGGAAUUGUCUCUUCCUUCCUUACAAUAACUUGAGGUGCCGCAUUGUCACCAGUAAUCAGCUUAAAAGACCUUUGGUGGCACCUCUGGAAGAGCUGCUGAACAACAGAGCGUCCGACUUCCUGGAAGUGACGGAGUUGAGCUUCCUCUACCUCAUGGACUGAUCUUCACUGAUCCCUUGCUCCAGUAUCAGGACGGCUUCGUGGUGGUUGGAGGGAACCUGAACCUGACUCCCGCUGGGAGGCAGAGGGUGUUGAAUGGAGAUAAUGCCGGCAGAUAAGCGUUCUUCACGUCUGGAACCAGAGUUUAAACAGAAACAAAGCUUCAGAACAGUUUCAUGUUUGUCUGCAAUAAAAGCCUCAGCAUCAG
ensembl:lncRNA